UGAGAAUUAUCAUCUGUAUG
rnacentral:miRNA from 1 species